GAAGAGAGUCUUAAACUACUCCCACGACAUAUUCAGCGCAUCCUCAACAUUCCUGCUGGCAAGCGAUCACCAGUGAUGUGCUGAAUUAUCCAGGAAAGUUACUGCCAUCUUCACCUUCCUUUCUUCUGGCAACUCUGUGCUCGCAAAAGCCUUUUCCAUUUUAUCCACCCAAGUAUAAGCAUCAAGGGGUCCCUUGGCACCUUUGAACUCUCUGGCUCCAGCUUCAAAAACUUCUCUCCUUUUCACAGUAGGAGGGCGUGGAGCUCGAUCCAUGACAUCCCUCAGCAUAUUUCCAAUAUCAUCAACCAGUCCCCUGACCUCAUUGCCCUCAUCGGCAUUGGUCGAAGUAGCCACACGGGGUUGCCGUGGGCGCCUAGGAGGCAUAGUAUCUGAGGAAGAAGAAAUUUAGUAGUCCAUAAACAAAACUAACACAAUAAUCACAUAUACCCAAUAACACAUAGCAUCAAAAGCAUAAAAUGCCAAUGAAUCCGCCGCGGUCGGAUCAUCACUCUAUAGACACUACGUGUUACUUAGGCAAAUGUGAUAGUGACAAGGAAGCAGGAAAAGGAAACCUAUAGCUCUGAUACCAACUGACACGACCCACCCCGAAUUUCACCCUGAAACUCGGAGUAAGUCAUGCGGGGACCACCUCCAAGGAAAAUUUACUGAAAAGAUUGAGAAAAUCUCCCUUGCAGAUGGACAACCCUAACUCGAAAAUUCCAAAUUUUACUCUUAAAUCAACACUUCCAAACAUCACAUAAUUAUCCUUCAGAAAUUCUACACAUCAUAUACAAUAAUCCCAAAGUAUUCAGAGCUACUAAACACAAGCGGAAGCAAGAAAACACGAGUAGGUUGAACAUGUAACUUACUGAUGAAAACUGGCAGAAAUGCGGGUGACUAUGCCUCGCCUCCUACUAGAUCCAACCCGAACUCUGCAGACUGGGCAAUUUAAAACGAAAGGCCCAGGGGAAAACAUUUAAUAACGUUAGAGUGAGUGGACAAAAAUAAAAUAAAGGAAAUAAUUCUUUAUGCUUUCCCAAUUUUUACUUUUCCAUAGAA
rnacentral:lncRNA from 1 species